rnacentral:rRNA from 1 species
GACGAACGCUGGCGGCGUGCUUAACACAUGCAAGUCGAACGGAAAGGCCCUGCUUUUGUUGGGUUCUCGUGUGGCGAACGGGUGAGUAACACGUGUGUAUCCUGCCCUUGUCUUUGGGAUAACUUCAGGAAACUGGGGCUAAUAUCGGAUAUGAUCUUCUGCUGCAUGGUGGGGGUUGGAAAGUUUCGGCGGUUGGGGCUGGACUCGCGGCUUAUCAGCUUGUUGGUGGGGUAGUUGCUUACCAAGGCUUAGACGGGUAGCCGACCUGAGAGGGUGACCGGCGACAUUGGGACUAAGAUACGGCCCAGACUCCUACGGGAGGCAGCGGUGGGGAAUAUGACACAGUGGGCGGAAGCCUGAUGCAGCGACGCCGCGUGCGGGAUGACGGCCUUCGGGUUAUGAACAGAUGUCGACGGAGACGAAGCGUGAGUGACGGUAAUGAAUAAAGAAGCACCGGCUAACUACGUG